rnacentral:rRNA from 1 species
CAGUAGCCGCGGUAAUACGUAGGGUGCGAGCGUUAAUCGGAAUUACUGGGCGUAAAGCGUGCGCAGGCGGUUAUAUAAGACAGAUGUGAAAUCCCCGGGCUCAACCUGGGACCUGCAUUUGUGACUGUAUAGCUAGAGUACGGUAGAGGGGGAUGGAAUUCCGCGUGUAGCAGUGAAAUGCGUAGAUAUGCGGAGGAACACCGAUGGCGAAGGCAAUCCCCUGGACCUGUACUGACGCUCAUGCACGAAAGCGUGGGGAGCAAACAGGAUUAGAUACCCGGGUAGUCCCUGUCUCUUAUAA